rnacentral:ncRNA from 1 species
UAAAAGGUAAUGAUGAGGCGAGUAAGUUAAAAACAUUUUUAAGAGAGAGAAUAUCGUGGCUGUAAGUAUUCUCAAACAUGAUUAACUGAAAACUACCUCUAAACUACAAUCGAAAGAAUAGUCGUUCUCCUGCGUUAAAGGAAGUUAAGAAAAUGGAAAACAGAAAAUUAAGACCAACUUUUAAUUUUCAACUUUCUAUUUAAAUAAGGGUGGAACCACGAGAAAUCUCGUCCCGUAU